rnacentral:rRNA from 1 species
UACGUAGGGACCAAGCGUUGUCCGGAUUUACUGGGCGUAAAGCGUGCGCAGGCGGUUUUGUAAGACUGUCGUGAAAUCCCCGGGCUCAACCUGGGAAUGGCGAUGGUGACUGCAAGGCUAGAGUUUGGCAGAGGGGGGUAGAAUUCCACGUGUAGCAGUGAAAUGCGUAGAUAUGUGGAGGAACACCGAUGGCGAAGGCAGCCCCCUGGGUCAAAACUGACGCUCAUGCACGAAAGCGUGGGGAGCAAACAGG